rnacentral:rRNA from 1 species
UGGACAAUGGGCGCAAGCCUGAUCCAGCCAUGCCGCGUGAGUGAUGAAGGCCCUAGGGUUGUAAAGCUCUUUUGUGCGGGAAGAUAAUGACGGUACCGCAAGAAUAAGCCCCGGCUAACUUCGUGCCAGCAGC